rnacentral:rRNA from 2 species
AACGCGAAGAACCUUACCUACUCUUGACAUCCAGAGAACUUUCCAGAGAUGGAUUGGUGCCUUCGGGAACUCUGAGACAGGUGCUGCAUGGCUGUCGUCAGCUCGUGUUGCGAAAUGUUGGGUUAAGUCCCGCAACGAGCGCAACCCUUAUCCUUUGUUGCCAGCGGUCCGGCCGGGAACUCAAAGGAGGCUGCCAGUGAUAAACUGGAGGAAGGUGGGGAUGACGUCAAGUCAUCAUGGCCCUUACGAGUAGGGCUACACACGUGCUACAAUGGCAUAUACAAAGAGAAGCGACCUCGCGAGAGCAAGCGGACCUCAUAAAGUGCGUCGUAGUCCGGAUUGGAGUCUGCAACUCGACUCCAUGAAGUCGGAAUCGCUAGUAAUCGUAGAUCAGAAUGCUACGGUGAAUACGUUCCCGGGUCUUGUACACACCG